rnacentral:rRNA from 1 species
GGGACUGAGACACGGCCCAAACUCCUACGGGAGGCAGCAGUGGGGAAUCUUGCACAAUGGAGGAAACUCUGAUGCAGCGAUGCCGCGUGAGUGAAGAAGGCCCUUGGGUUGUAAAGCUCUUUCGUCGGGGAAGAAAAUGACUGUACCCGAAUAAGAAGGUCCGGCUAACUUCGUGCCAGCAGCCGCGGUAAUACGAAGGGACCUAGCGUAGUUCGGAAUUACUGGGCUUAAAGAGUUCGUAGGUGGUUGAAAAAGUUGGUGGUGAAAUCCCAGAGCUUAACUCUGGAACUGCCAUCAAAACUUUUCAGCUAGAGUAUGAUAGAGGAAAGCAGAAUUUCUAGUGUAGAGGUGAAAUUCGUAGAUAUUAGAAAGAAUACCAAUUGCGAAGGCAGCUUUCUGGAUCAUUACUGACACUGAGGAACGAAAGCAUGGGUAGCGAAGAGGAUUAGAUACCCUCGUAGUCCAUGCCGUAAACGAUGUGUGUUAGACGUUGGAAAUUUAUUUUCAGUGUCGCAGUGAAAGCGAUAAACACACCGCCUGGGGAGUACGACCGCAAGGUUAAAACUCAAAUGAAUUGACGGGGACCCGCACAAGUAGUGGAGCAUGUGGUUUAAUUCGAAGAUACGCGCAGAACCUUACCAACACUUGACAUGUUCGUCGCGACUUUAAGAGAUUAAAGUUUUCGGUUCGGCCGGACGAAACACAGGUGCUGCAUGGCUGUCGUCAGCUCGUGUCGUGAGAUGUUGGGUUAAGUCCCGCAACGAGCGCAACCCUCACUUUUAGUUGCCAUCAUUUAGUUGGGCACUCUGAAAGAACUGCCAGUGAUAAGCUGGAGGAAGGUGGGGAUGACGUCA